GUAACCAGUGCUGCAAAAUAUCAUGAACAUCAAGAGAUAUUCACCAACGAAAACAAUUAAUAUAUCCGAGGUAGCUUGAUACCAGCAAUGAGCAUUUUCAAUGAAUGUGCAUCACGACAUGCGAGUGCUUGAAUCCAACGAGUCAAUCCAACGAAAAUGUCGCGACCAAGUGAUUGACCAAGAGUUGGUUGCACACAAUGUCACCAAGCAGUCACUUACCCCGCCCAUGCACCGCCUAAAUGCACCACUAUAGUACGGAAAGAAUAUGAAUAAGAAUUGUGGGUGGAAGGGUUUCGCUCAUUGUUCGUUCGAGCUAGAGGGGUUGGUUGGUUCAAUUUUCCCCGCGACUGCAGACAAUGCUUGUACGGCACUUUUCCAAAUUGCGCUUAAAACGCGUACACAUUCCGAUGGCACACAUACAACUAUGUCAACACCCGCCUUUACCACUCCAAGGUGCGAGGGAGAAGAAUUGUGUGUUAAACGAAAUGCAACGAGCGGAGCAGCUUAGUAUUACAGCCUACUUCACCCUGUUGCAAUGUUGUUUCUUUCUGUUUAUUUAAAAUCACCUAGCAGUCAGGUGGGUGGAUUCAACAGUUGAGUGUACGCUAAAUACAGCCCAGUAAUAAUAUUUCAAACGUAGGGAGUGUUACACACACACAUACGCGCAGCCCUUUUAAAGAGGUGAAACGCAUCGUAUCGUUUGCGCACGUCGCCUCCAUUGCGUAGGCUAAUUGGUGACCCACAUGAGCCAAACCACAUACUUCCAGGUAUCGUCAAGUAAACCAGUCAAUUAGGGACUGCCCUUUAAGUAUGUAAACUAUUGAAGCACGUUCGAGUGGUGUUCCGAAUUCAUAAAACGGCGACAACUGUUUGCGGCUCGCUGCACCAAAACGUGCUGGAAUGACUUUCAUCAAAAACAGUUCCAACUCUGUAAGCAAUCGGUUCGUUAGGGUGAUUUGCGAUAAUACUGAAUUAUUGCUGAACAAAGGUUGCAAAUUCUUUGACUUCUAACGUUCUGAAAUAUUUCUAAUUUUCAGAACAGAUCAAUCAAUUUCUUCUAUAGGCGUAGAUAGAGCUCGUUUGAUUUUUUUGUAAAAUAGGGUCUUAAAUCACUUAAAUCGUGUUGCGAUUUUUUCCCUGUUUGUUUGUUAAACUCAAACUCAAACUCCAAUUAAGAUCCCGCUGCUUCGGCACAAAGACAGCCCAAGGUGAUUAGAACACCGCCAAUGGUCGAUCGAUCGAAUCCAAAGUAAAGGCGUGCCAUCAUCACCAUCAUCAUCAUCAACAUGAUCAUGAGCAUAAGCGUGGUCGUGAAGCAGGCAUGGAUGUCGUCAUCCGCGAGCGAUUCCAGCGUUUGUUUAUGAUCUCAACCUGCACAAGCGCCCUGACCUCUGCUCCAUGCCGUUCGUGCCACGCUGCACCAAAUCGAGCGUCGAAUAGGUUGAAGUUUUGCUUCACCGCGACUUGACUAAUGGCAAUUAAAUAAAUUCAAAACGCUCCGUA